UAAAACAAAAAGAGCCCAGCAGAAGUAAAAUAAAAUCGGCCCAAACAAAUUAAAACAUGAGCCCAACUUAAUAAAAUCGGCCCACUCACUCUUUUUUAAAAUUUUUGGCCCACCCUAAACCUAACCCUAAUACAUACAACAUAUACCACACACACAAACACAUAACACACACACUCAAGCUCAGCGCCUCACUCUCCCUCUCUACCUCUCGGCUCUCUCCUCUUCUCUCCCUCUCGUCUCUCUGUCUCACCGGAAGUCAGCCGCACGCCGCCUCGCCGUGAAGGAGCUCGGCCGCCGUCCAUCUGGUCUUCCUCCUUCGGCUCCUGCUCGGACAAGGGCGCGGGUAGCUUCCUCUCCAUCCCCUCGUCUGGAACAGGGCAUCUGCCCUCUCCGCCAUAGGGAGCGCACGGCCGCCGCCUGGCCGCCUCCUCCGUCGUCCGUCGUGGCUGAAAUCGCGGUGGAGGCCGAGCUUUGUCUCGCCGGAAAGGUAAGUUCCAAAUCUUCCCCCUUUUCCUCUCUUUUCUAUUUUUAAACCUAGAUCUGAAAUUUCCCCC
rnacentral:lncRNA from 1 species